GAUGAACGCUGGCGGCGUGCCUAAUACAUGCAAGUCGAGCGAACAGACGAGGAGCUUGCUCCUCUGACGUUAGCGGCGGACGGGUGAGUAACACGUGGAUAACCUACCUAUAAGACUGGGAUAACUUCGGGAAACCGGAGCUAAUACCGGAUAACAUGUUGAACCGCAUGGUUUAACAGUGAAAGACGGCCUUGCUGUCACUUAUAGAUGGAUCCGCGCCGCAUUAGCUAGUUGGUAAGGUAACGGCUUACCAAGGCAACGAUGCGUAGCCGACCUGAGAGGGUGAUCGGCCACACUGGAACUGAGACACGGUCCAGACUCCUACGGGAGGCAGCAGUAGGGAAUCUUCCGCAAUGGGCGAAAGCCUGACGGAGCAACGCCGCGUGAGUGAAGAAGGUCUUCGGAUCGUAAAACUCUGUUAUUAGGGAAGAACAAAUGUGUAAGUAACUAUGCACGUCUUGACGGUACCUAAUCAGAAAGCCACGGCUAACUACGUG
rnacentral:rRNA from 1 species